AACUGUUUACCAUAUAUAUUAAUGAUUUGGAAGAGGGAAUUAGGAGCAACACUAGCAAGUUUGCGGAUGACACAAAGCUGGGUGGCAGUGUGAACUGUGAAGAGGAUGUUAGGAGGUUGCAGGGAGACCUGGACAGGUUGAGUGAGUGGGCAGAUGCGUGGCAGAUGCAGUAUAAUAUAGAUAAAUGUGAGGUUAUCCACUUUGGCGGCAAAAACAAGGAGGCAGAUUAAUAUCUCAAUGGGGUUAGGUUAGGCAAGGGGGAGGUGCAGCGAGACCUGGGUGUCCUUGUACACCAGUCACUGAAAGUUGGAGUGCAGGUACAGCAGGCAGUGAAGAAAGCUAAUGGAAUGUUGGCCUUCAUAACAAGAGGAUUUCAGUAUAGGAGUAAAGAGGUUCUUCUGCAGUUGUAUAGGGCUCUGGUGAGACCACAUUUGGAGUAUUGUGUACAGUUUUGGUCUCCUAAUUUGAGGAAGGACAUCCUUGUGAUUGAGGCAGUGUAGCCUAGGUUCACGAGAUUGAUCCCUGGGAUGGUGGGACUGUCAUAUGAGGAGAGAUUGAAAAGACUAGGCUUGUAUUCACUGGAGUUUAGAAGGAUGAGGUGCGUUCAGAACCAGAGGCCACAGUCUUAGAAUAAAGGGGAAUCCAUUUAAGACUGAGGUCAGAAAAAACUUUUUCACGCUAGAGAAUUGUGAAUUUGUGGAAAUCCCUGCCGCAGAGGGCAGUGGAGGCCAAGUCAUUGGAUGGAUUUUAGAUAGAGUUAGAUAGAGCUCUUGGGGCUAGUGGAAUCAAGGUAUAUGGGGAGAAGGCAGGCAUGGGUUAUUGAUUGGGGACGAUCAGCCAUGAUCACAAUGAAUGGCGGUGCUGGCUCAAGGGGCCAAAUGGCCUCCAACUGCACCUAUUUUCUAUGUUUCUAUUUCUAUGUUAGGUUAUUCUCCAAGAUUGACCUAGUCCGGGGAUAUCACCGGAUCCUUGAGCGACCAGAAGAUGUCCCCAAGAUGAUUUAGCGAUUCAGAUGGGAUUCAGGCACAAUGAAUUCUUGCAUUUUCAGCCUCUAUCAGUUUUUGAAAGUGAUGUGACCAGACCAGACCAGACAGUGAGAGCAAUGAAAAACGCUGGCAUUCUGAAUCAGGCUUUCAAAG